rnacentral:rRNA from 1 species
AUUGAACGCUGGCGGCAUGCCUUACACAUGCAAGUCGAACGGCAGCACGGGAGCAAUCCUGGUGGCGAGUGGCGAACGGGUGAGUAAUAUAUCGGAACGUGCCCAGUCGUGGGGGAUAACGUAGCGAAAGCUACGCUAAUACCGCAUACGAUCUAUGGAUGAAAGCGGGGGAUCGCAAGACCUCGCGCGAUUGGAGCGGCCGAUAUCAGAUUAGGUAGUUGGUGAGGUAAAGGCUCACCAAGCCGACGAUCUGUAGCUGGUCUGAGAGGACGACCAGCCACACUGGAACUGAGACACGGUCCAGACUCCUACGGGAGGCAGCAGUGGGGAAUUUUGGACAAUGGACGGCAAGUCUGAUCUAGCCAUUCCGCGUGCAGGAUGAAGGCCCUCGGGUUGUAAACUGCUUUUGUACGGAACGAAACGGUGAGCUCUAAUACAGUUUGCUAAUGACGGUACCGUAAGAAUAAGACACCGGCUAACUACGU